UGUUGCCCUUUCUUGAUGAAUAUGAGUGUCCCUUUAUGGAGUCACUGACGGUGGGAGUGCGCCAAUGAGGGUCACCACAAUUUGCCCUGUUCUAGAUUAUUUACCAUUUCUGGAAGAAGCAGAUGGAGCAAGAUAAGAUAGAAGGCAGUGUGGAGCAGCAGGAUGUAGGAGCCGGUGUUUGCCAUUUACCUAGCUGGUAUUUCUCUUCCAAACUCAUUUUUUCAUCAUCUGUAUAAUGGGAUUAAAUCCUAAGAGCCCUUCCAGCCUGUGGAUCCCAAGUGUGUUCCUUGUGGCUCUGCCUUUGCUCACUUAUUUUCGCUCCCCUCCUGUACUCUUCUCCUCCAAUCCCAGGAGGCAAGGAUCAGGAGAGAGACAGGUCAGUGUCUCCCCUUGAAUCUUGCUCCUUCUGUCUUGGACUCUUCUCAUGGACUGAGUGGCAAAGGUUAAGGCUAUGUUCCAUCCCCAGGGACUUGAGUGUGAGCCUCAUUGGUUGGAGAAGACUGGGAGCUAUUUCAGUAUCCCUUCCUGUUUGGGAGAUCUGCUCUGGACUAGCUUGAGGUUUCAGGUGGAAGAGAACCACCUGGAAUAAAAAUUCCAAAGCUUUUCCUUCCCUCCCAUUGGCUACCCUAGAGAAACAAGUCAGUUGUGGGCCAGAAGCUAGAUGGGCUGGGUAGGCUAAAACACUUGAAUAUGGGGAUUCCACCUCACCUAUUUCCUUGGAUUAAUAUAGUCUCUCACAAUACACUCCAAGUGCCCUCUGCAAUUUUUUUUUUAACCACCCUUAACAGACUGUUAUCACUAAUUUCCCCACCUUCUCUGUAAUCCCCCUUUUCUCCCAAAUCCCUAAUUUAUCCGAGCUGCCUUCCUUCAGGCAUUUAUUUCCCUAGAGCAAAGACUGACACCGCACCCUAUGGCCUGCCUUCGGUGAAGGAGAAGUGCUCCCAAUCUACAAUUGGCUUCUUGGGAAGCAGUGAAGUGCAUAUUAAUAGGCCUAGGAGGGGUGUGCCUCCUACUACUUACCCCAGGAAUCCCCAGCUGCUGUUUUGUGUUUUAAGGGAGAAUGGGGAAACCAGAGCAGAAGAUAAAAUUGUAAAAGAAACUAUUCCCCCUUUUUUUUCUGACAGGGGCUGGGUAGAGGGAGGAGAAUGUGGGGCUAGACACUAUCUGUGCAAUGUCUCCCUGGGGCAGACCUGUUCUGCUUUCUAUAGAUAUUUUUUGUUUUUAUUUUUUAUUAUUUUGAAAAAUUUUUUUAAAUAUGUAUAUAUCAAGAGUCUGUGAUUGGCUACUGAUGGUGUCUUAAAUACAAAAGUAAAGGGAAGGUUUGAAGAGGCAGUGAGUCUUACACUAUCUCGGAUGGAAAAGGGUGUAGAGAUAACUCCCACCCUCCUCCUUUCCCCGUGGCUCAGGGCCUCAGCCAGUAUCACAUGUUAGGCGAUCAAAUAGCACUUUUAUAGAGCCAUCUUGGCCACUUCGGUUUUAGGUUUUAUCUUCCUCCCCUGGUUAUCUUCCAGGGCUAACUUUUAAUUCUUAAAUGCAUUUGAAACUGUGGUUGAUCCGAUUUCCCACAGGUCACCACCAGCAGAUACUAUAAGCCAGAGGAGCUUUGAUUGAACACUCUGAGUGUUCCCUGGGGCUCAUCUGUGGUGAGAGGCAGAGUCUUGUAGUAGAAAAGAAGAAACUGAAAAUUUGCAUUCAAAUCCCUGCCCUCAACACUCAAUGCUUCUGUGUGAUCCCGGGCAAGAUUCUGAAACUCAAGUUGAUCUAUAAAAUGAGGUUAUAAUAGUAGCACUACCCAUCUCACAGGGUUGUUGUGAGGAAUGUGAUUUUUGUAAAUCUGAAAACACUAUAGAAAUGUGAACCAUCUUGGGGAUGCAUGGACCAGAAGCUCCCCCGUUCCGUGGAGCCUCAAAUGCCAACCCUAC
rnacentral:lncRNA from 1 species